GACGAACGCUGGCGGCGUGCUUAACACAUGCAAGUCGAACGGAAAGGCCCUGCUUUUGUGGGGUGCUCGAGUGGCGAACGGGUGAGUAACACGUGAGUAACCUGCCCUUGACUUUGGGAUAACUUCAGGAAACUGGGGCUAAUACCGGAUAGGAGCUCCUGCUGCAUGGUGGGGGUUGGAAAGUUUCGGCGGUUGGGGAUGGACUCGCGGCUUAUCAGCUUGUUGGUGGGGUAGUGGCUUACCAAGGCUUUGACGGGUAGCCGGCCUGAGAGGGUGACCGGCCACAUAGGGACUGAGAUACGGCCCAGACUCCUACGGGAGGCAGCAGUGGGGAAUAUUGCACAAUGGGCGGAAGCCUGAUGCGGCAACGCCGCGUGCGGGAUGACGGCCUUCGGGUUGUAAACCGCUUUCGCCUGUGACGAAGCGUGAGUGACGGUAAUGGGUAAAGAAGCACCGGCUAACUACGUG
rnacentral:rRNA from 1 species